rnacentral:tRNA from 2 species
GACUUUAGAAAUCGUGAGGGUUCAAGUCCCUCUAUCCCCAAA